rnacentral:rRNA from 1 species
CAGGCCCCCCUCUUUUCCGUAGGUGAACCUGCGGAAGGAUCAUUAAUGAACUUGUGGUUGUUGCUGGCUAGUGUCUCUAGCAUGUGCACACGCACCUUCAUCCCACUUACACCUGUGCACCUUUUGUAGUAUGAGUUGUUGAAAGGGGGGGUUUUUUUUUAGCCUGGUCUCUGGAUUUACCUACUACGUUUUUUAUACACACACAUACUAAGUCAUUGAAUGUCCAUUUGAUUUUAUAUUGAAAAAAACAACUUUCAACAACGGAUCUCUUGGCUCUCGCAUCGAUGAAGAACGUAGCGAAUUACGAUAUGUAAUGUGAAUUGCAGAAUUCAGUGAAUCAUCGAAUCUUUGAACGCAUCUUGCGCUCUUUGGUAUUCCGAAGAGCAUGCCUGUUUGAGUGUCAUGAAUCUCUCAAAUAUGAAAGCUUGAUUGCUUUCUGUAUUUGGACUUGGAAGUCUGUUGGCGCAAGUCAACUCUUCUUAAAUGCAUUAGCUGGGGUUUAUAUAGUGGAUCCUUGGUGUGAUAAUUAUCUACGCCUUGAAGUCCCUGUAGACCUUGCUUCAAACCGUCUUACUACGAGACAAUUUUGAAUCAUCUGGCCUCAAAUCAGGUAGGACUACCCGCUGAACUUAAGCAUAUCAAUAAGCGGAGGAA